UACAGAGGGUGCAAGCGUUGUUCGGAAUUAUUGGGCGUAAAGGGCGCGUAGGCGGUGCUGUAAGUCUGUAGUGAAAUCUCUGGGCUCAACUCAGAGUCUGCUAUAGAAACUGCAGUGCUGGAGUGUGGGAGAGGUGAGUGGAAUUCCGUGGUGUAGCGGUGGAAUGCGCAGAUAUCAGGAGGAACACCAUAGCGAAGGCAGCUCGCUGGGACGGUACUGACGCUGAGGCGCGAAAGCGUGGGGAGCGAACAGG
rnacentral:rRNA from 1 species